AUUUGAUGCCUGGCAGUUCCCUACUCUCGCAUGGGGAGACCCCACACUACCAUCGGCGCUACGGCGUUUCACUUCUGAGUUCGGCAUGGGGUCAGGUGGGACCACCGCGCUANNNNNNNNNNNNNNNNNNNNUCAGGUGGGACCACCGCGCUACUGCCGCCAGGCAAAUUCUGUUAUCAGACCGUUUUUACGUUCUGAUGUAAUCUGAAUCAGUGCUGAAAAUCGUCUCUCAUCCGCNNNNNNNNNNNNNNNNNNNNGAAUCAGUGCUGAAAAUCGUCUCUCAUCCGCCAAAACAUCUUCGGCGUUGUAAGGUUAAGCCUCACGGUUCAUUAGUACCGGUUAGCUCAACGCAUCGCUGCGCUUACACACCCGGCCUAUCAACGUCGUCGUCUUCAACGUUCCUUCAGGAGACCUAAAGUCUCAGGGAGAACUCAUCUCGGGGCAAGUUUCGUGCUUAGAUGCUUUCAGCACUUAUCUCUUCCGCAUUUAGCUACCGGGCAGUGCCAUUGGCAUGACAACCCGAACACCAGUGAUGCGUCCACUCCGGUCCUCUCGUACUAGGAGCAGCCCCCCUCAGUUCUCCAGCGCCCACGGCAGAUAGGGACCGAACUGUCUCACGACGUUCUAAACCCAGCUCGCGUACCACUUUAAAUGGCGAACAGCCAUACCCUUGGGACCUACUUCAGCCCCAGGAUGUGAUGAGCCGACAUCGAGGUGCCAAACACCGCCGUCGAUAUGAACUCUUGGGCGGUAUCAGCCUGUUAUCCCCGGAGUACCUUUUAUCCGUUGAGCGAUGGCCCUUCCAUUCAGAACCACCGGAUCACUAUGACCUGCUUUCGCACCUGCUCGCGCCGUCACGCUCGCAGUCAAGCUGGCUUAUGCCAUUGCACUAACCUCCUGAUGUCCGACCAGGAUUAGCCAACCUUCGUGCUCCUCCGUUACUCUUUAGGAGGAGNNNNNNNNNNNNNNNNNNNNCCCACCAGACACUGUCCGCAACCCGGGUAACGGGUCCACGUUAGAACAUCAAACAUUAAAGGGUGGUAUUUCAAGGUCGGCUCCAUGCAGACUGGCGUCCACACUUCAAAGCCUCCCACCUAUCCUACACAUCAAGGCUCAAUGUUCAGUGUCAAGCUAUAGUAAAGGUUCACGGGGUCUUUCCGUCUUGCCGCGGGUACACUGCAUCUUCACAGCGAGUUCAAUUUCACUGAGUCUCGGGUGGAGACAGCCUGGCCAUCAUUACGCCAUUCGUGCAGGUCGGAACUUACCCGACAAGGAAUUUCGCUACCUUAGGACCGUUAUAGUUACGGCCGCCGUUUACCGGGGCUUCGAUCAGGAGCUUCGCUUGCGCUGACCCCAUCAAUUAACCUUCCGGCACCGGGCAGGCGUCACACCGUAUACGUCCACUUUCGUGUUUGCACAGUGCUGUGUUUUUAAUAAACAGUUGCAGCCAGCUGGUAUCUUCGACUGACUUCAGCUCCAUGAGUAAAUCACUUCACCUACGUGUCAGCGUGCCUUCUCCCGAAGUUACGGCACCAUUUUGCCUAGUUCCUUCACCCGAGUUCUCUCAAGCGCCUUGGUAUUCUCUACCUGACCACCUGUGUCGGUUUGGGGUACGAUUUGAUGUUACCUGAUGCUUAGAGGCUUUUCCUGGAAGCAGGGCAUUUGUUGCUUCAGCACCGUAGUGCCUCGUCGUCACGCCUCAGUGUUAAAGUGAACCGGAUUUACCUGGAACACACACCUACACGCUUAAACCGGGACAACCGUCGCCCGGCCAACAUAGCCUUCUCCGUCCCCCCUUCGCAGUAACACCAAGUACGGGAAUAUUAACCCGUUUCCCAUCGACUACGCCUUUCGGCCUCGCCUUAGGGGUCGACUCACCCUGCCCCGAUUAACGUUGGACAGGAACCCUUGGUCUUCCGGCGAGCGGGCUUUUCACCCGCUUUAUCGUUACUUAUGUCAGCAUUCGCACUUCUGAUACCUCCAGCAACCCUCACAGGCCACCUUCACAGGCUUACAGAACGCUCCCCUACCCAACAACACCUGAGUGUCGCUGCCGCAGCUUCGGUGCAUGGUUUAGCCCCGUUACAUCUUCCGCGCAGGCCGACUCGACCAGUGAGCUAUUACGCUUUCUUUAAAUGAUGGCUGCUUCUAAGCCAACAUCCUGGCUGUCUGGGCCUUCCCACAUCGUUUCCCACUUAACCAUGACUUUGGGACCUUAGCUGGCGGUCUGGGUUGUUUCCCUCUUCACGACGGACGUUAGCACCCGCCGUGUGUCUCCCGUGAUAACAUUCUCCGGUAUUCGCAGUUUGCAUCGGGUUGGUAAGCCGCGCUACCUAAAUAGCUUUCGGGGAGAACCAGCUAUCUCCCGGUUUGAUUGGCCUUUCACCCCCAGCCACAGGUCAUCCGCUAAUUUUUCAACAUUAGUCGGUUCGGUCCUCCAGUUAGUGUUACCCAACCUUCAACCUGCCCAUGGCUAGAUCACCGGGUUUCGGGUCUAUACCCUGCAACUUAACGCCCGGUUAAGACUCGGUUUCCCUCCGGCUCCCCUAUACGGUUAACCUUGCUACAGAAUAUAAGUCGCUGACCCAUUAUACAAAAGGUACGCAGUCACACAGGUAAACCUGUGCUCCCACUGCUUGUACGUACACGGUUUCAGGUUCUUUUUCACUCCCCUCGCCGGGGUUCUUUUCGCCUUUCCCUCACGGUACUGGUUCACUAUCGGUCAGUCAGGAGUAUUUAGCCUUGGAGGAUGGUCCCCCCAUAUUCAGACAGGAUACCACGUGUCCCGCCCUACUCAUCGAGCUCACAGCACAUGCGCUUUUGUGUACGGGGCUGUCACCCUGUAUCGCGCGCCUUUCCAGACNNNNNNNNNNNNNNNNNNNNCCCCGUUCGCUCGCCGCUACUGGGGGAAUCUCGGUUGAUUUCUUUUCCUCGGGGUACUUAGAUGUUUCAGUUCCCCCGGUUCGCCUCAUUAACCUAUGGAUUCAGUUAAUGAUAGUGUGACGAAUCACACUGGGUUUCCCCAUUCGGAAAUCGCCGGUUAUAACGGUUCAUAUCACCUUACCGGCGCUUAUCGCAGAUUAGCACGUCCUUCAUCGCCUCUGACUGCCAGGGCAUCCACCGUGUACGCUUAGUCGCUUAACCUCACAACCCGAAGAUGUUUCUUACGAUUCAUCAUCGUGUUGCGAAAAUUUGAGAGACUCACGAACAACUUUCGUUGUUCUGUGUUUCAAUUUUCAGCUUGAUCCAGAUUUUUAAAGAGCAAA
rnacentral:rRNA from 1 species